UACGUAGGGUGCAAGCGUUAAUCGGAAUUACUGGGCGUAAAGCGUGCGUAGGCGGUUUUGUAAGUCAGCUGUGAAAUCCCCGGGCUCAACCUGGGAACUGCCUUUGUGACUGCAAGGCUUGAGUGCGGCAGAGGGGGAUGGAAUUCCGCGUGUAGCAGUGAAAUGCGUAGAUAUGCGGAGGAACACCGAUGGCGAAGGCAAUCCCCUGGGCCUGCACUGACGCUCAUGCACGAAAGCGUGGGGAGCAAACAGG
rnacentral:rRNA from 1 species